GAGCCAAAUGAUGAGGGCAUUACGAAGAAUGAGUUUCCAUUUGUCAUCUGGAAGUCCCUAGAACCCAAGACUGGACCAGGUUCUAAACAGGAAGACAGAGGACCUCCUCCAGGGGCUCUAGAACUGAGUUCAGAGAUAAGUAUGCCGGAUGUGGGCCUCUUCCAACGAUGCACAUAGACUCCUCUGGAAACCUGGGGUGGAUGCUCAAGUGUCUCGAGCUAAGAUAGGAGAUGCAGACACCAAUGGGCUGCUCAACAACAACUUAUCACCGUUUUGGGGGUAGAGAUUGAUUACUGGGAUUCGGCUUUUGUUUGGAGUUCCUUCGAUUGCAACCUGUGCAAAAUGCAAUUGCAUGCCUGGAUGGGGAGAGCCCAACUACUGAAGCAUACAGCAUUUCCACUGGGUUAUCGACACUGCUUAAUAUUAAAAUCUGGAUUAAUUUAGAUCUCCCAUGCUCAUGGAUUGGCAGGAUCAACAUUGUAAAAAUGGCUAUCUUGCCAAAAGCAAUCUACAGAUUCAAUGCAAUCCCCAUCAAAAUUCCAACUCAAUUCUUCAACGAAUUGGAAGGAGCAAUUUGCAAAUUUGUCUGGAAUAACAAAAAACCUAGGAUAGCAAAAAGUCUUCUCAAGGAUAAAAGA
rnacentral:lncRNA from 1 species